rnacentral:rRNA from 1 species
UAGGGAAUCUUCGGCAAUGGACGAAAGUCUGACCGAGCAACGCCGCGGGAGUGAAGAAGGUUUUCGGAUCGUAAAACUCUGUUGUUAGAGAAGAACAAGGACGUUAGUAACUGAACGUCACCUGACGGUAUCUAACCAGAAAGCCACGGCUAACUACGUGCCAGCAGCCGCGGUAAUACGUAGGUGGCAAGCGUUGUCCGGAUUUAUUGGGCGUAAAGCGAGCGCAGGCGGUUUCUUAAGUCUGAUGUGAAAGCCCCCGGCUCAACCGGGGAGGGUCAUUUGAAACUGGGCGACUUGAGUGCAGAAGAGGAGAGUUGAAUUCCAUGUGUAGCGGUGACAUGCGUAGAUAUAUGGAGGAACACCAGUUGCGAAGGCGGCUCUCUGGUCUGUAACUGACGCUGCGGCUCGAAAGCGUGGGGAGCAAACAGG